CCUACGGGAGGCAGCAGUGAGGAAUAUUGGUCAAUGGGCUUACGCCUGAACCAGCCAAGUCGCGUGAGGGAAGACUGCCCUAUGGGUUGUAAACUUCUUUUAUUCGGGACGAAACAAAUGACGGUACCGAAUGAAUAAGCCACGGCUAACUACGUGCCAGCAGCCGCGGUAAUACGUAGGUGGCAAGCGUUAUCCGGAUUUACUGGGUGUAAAGGGCGUGUAGGCGGGAGAGCAAGUCAGACGUGAAAUUCCAGGGCUCAACCCUGGAACUGCGUUUGAAACUGUUCUUCUUGAGUACAGUUGAGGUAGGCGGAAUUCGUGGUGUAGCGGUGAAAUGCUUAGAUAUCAGGAGGAACACCGGUGGCGAAGGCGGCCUGCUGGACUGCAACUGACGUUGAGGCCCGAAAGCGUGGGGAGCAAACAGGAUUAGAUACCCUAGUAGUC
rnacentral:rRNA from 1 species